UUGCAGUGAUGAGCUUCCACUUCAUGGUCCGUGUUUUUGAAACGAAAUGAUAACUUCAGAAGUUCUGAGUUC
ensembl:snoRNA SNORD18 Small nucleolar RNA SNORD18